ACUUCUGGAGAAGUCUAACUAUGGCUAUGUGAGUUGUGGUGACUGAGUUUGAUUAUACUUUUGUUUUUGACAGGCAAAAUUCUCAAGCAUUUUGCUGGCAAUUUUAUAUGAAUCUCUAAAAUGACUCGUUUGCAGUAUAAAGGAGACCAAAGUGGACUCAAAGAACUCAAGGGAGGAAGAAGGCAGAGCGAAAGCUUGAAUCUGGACUGAGUGUGAAAAGAUACAGGCAAUGGGCUUGGAGAGAUGGCCCAGCAUUUAAGAGCAAGUACCGCUUGCAGAGGACUUGAGUUCAGUUUCCAGUCCCCAUGCCAGGUGACCCUUACAGCUGCCUGUAUUUCCAGCUCCAGGGGCUCUAAUUCCCUCUUAUGAACUCCUGGGGCACCGAGACAUGUGCAUAUCCCCUGCCCCCUUCCCACAUAGUUAAAAAUGAAAACUAAUCUUCAAAAUGUCUAGGAGAAAAAUUGACCUUUGAAAGAGCAGGUGGAAGAGCAGGAGUGAGACCAUGCUAGGUCUUAGGUCUAGAAUAGCUUGAGAGCCCCUGGAGACCCUUGACACUGGGACACUGGUUUUACUAAAGAUUCCCCAGGCUUACAUUCUUUGGGCUCUGGGGAGGGCUGUCUUGGUUGUAUUGCAUCGUGGAAGCUGCAGUAUGGUAGGUCAGAGAGAGAAGCCACAUGGUAAGACAAGAGACUAGAAGAUAGCCCAGAGGCCAUUCUUGGUUUUUAUUCUUACACAUGUUCAUGGGCACUAAGUAGUCUCAAGAGAACUACUUAAUUCCUUCUGACGGUGAUGUCUCCACCUCUGGACAUCCAUCAACUUUCAACAUCACUACACCGAGGGCCACACCUCCAACAACACAUUUCCCUCUUCGUGAAGAAGGCAUGGCUGUAUUAUAGAGCUCUCAUACUCAGACCCUCGUGUGGCUUCCAUGGAAGGCUGCCCUCUCACCAUGCAGUCUCCCUCUCCCUCUCUCUCCCUCUUUCUCCCUUUCUCUCCCCCUCCCCCCUCUAUCUCCCCUCUCCCUCCCCC
rnacentral:lncRNA from 1 species